rnacentral:rRNA from 1 species
UGGGGAAUAUUGGACAAUGGGCGCAAGCCUGAUCCAGCCAUGCCGCGUGAGUGAUGAAGGCCCUAGGGUUGUAAAGCUCUUUCACCGGUGAAGAUAAUGACGGUAACCGGAGAAGAAGCCCCGGCUAACUUCGUGCCAGCAGCCACGGUAAUACGAAGGGGGCUAGCGUUGUUCGGAUUUACUGGGCGUAAAGCGCACGUAGGCGGACUAUUAAGUCAGGGGUGAAAUCCCGGGGCUCAACCCCGGAACUGCCUUUGAUACUGGUAGUCUUGAGUUCGAGAGAGGUGAGUGGAAUUCCGAGUGUAGAGGUGAAAUUCGUAGAUAUUCGGGGGAACACCAGUGGCGAAGGCGGCUCACUGGCUCGAUACUGACGCUGAGGUGCGAAAGCGUGGGGAGCAAACAGG